rnacentral:rRNA from 1 species
AGUGAACGCUGGCGGUAGGCCUAACACAUGCAAGUCGAACGGCAGCACAGUAAGAGCUUGCUCUUACGGGUGGCGAGUGGCGAACGGGUGAGGAAUACAUCGGAAUCUACUUUUUCGUGGGGGAUAACGUAGGGAAACUUACGCUAAUACCGCAUACGACCUACGGGUGAAAGCAGGGGAUCUUCGGCCCUUGCGCGAUUGAAUGAGCCGAUGUCGGAUUAGCUAGUUGGCGGGGUAAAGGCCCACCAAGGCGACGAUCCGUAGCUGGUCUGAGAGGAUGAUCAGCCACACUGGAACUGAGACACGGUCCAGACUCCUACGGGAGGCAGCAGUCGAGAAUAUUGGACAAUGGGCGAAAGCCUGAUCCAGCCAUACCGCGUGGGGGAAGAAGGCCUUCGGGUUGUAAAGCCCUGUUGUUGGGAAAGAAAAGCAGCAGGUUAAUACCCCGCGGUUCUGACGGUACCCAAAGAAUAAGCACCGGCUAACUUCGUG